AAGAUUUCCGAAUGGGGAAACCCACUAUACGUAAUGGUAUGGUAUCCUUACCUGAAUACAUAGGGUAUGGAAGACAGACCCAGGGAACUGAAACAUCUAAGUACCUGGAGGAAGAGAAAGCAAAUGCGAUUUCCUGAGUAGCGGCGAGCGAAACGGAACAUAGCCCAAACCAAGAGGCUUGCCUCUUGGGGUUGUAGGACAUUCUAUACGGAGUUACAAAGGAACGAGGUAGACGAAGCGACCUGGAAAGGUCCGUCGUAGAGGGUAACAACCCCGUAGUCGAAACUUCGUUCUCUCUUGAAUGUAUCCUGAGUACGGCGGAACACGUGAAAUUCCGUCGGAAUCUGGGAGGACCAUCUCCCAAGGCUAAAUACUCCCUAGUGAUCGAUAGUGAACCAGUACCGUGAGGGAAAGGUGAAAAGCACCCCGGAAGGGGAGUGAAAGAGAUCCUGAAACCGUGUGCCUACAAAUAGUCAGAGCCCGUUAAUGGGUGAUGGCGUGCCUUUUGUAGAAUGAAC
rnacentral:rRNA from 1 species